rnacentral:rRNA from 1 species
CUGGCUCAGGACGAACGCUGGCGGCGUGCCUAACACAUGCAAGUCGAGCGAUGAACCCUUCGGGUGGAUAGCGGCGGACGGGUGAGUAACACGUGGGUAACCUGCCUCAAAGAGGGGGAUAGCCUCCCGAAAGGGAGAUUAAUACCGCAUAACAUUAUUUCUUCGCAUGAAGAGAUAAUCAAAGGAGUAAUCCGCUUUGAGAUGGACCCGCGGCGCAUUAGCUAGUUGGUGAGGUAAUGGCUCACCAAGGCGACGAUGCGUAGCCGACCUGAGAGGGUGAUCGGCCACAUUGGAACUGAGAUACGGUCCAGACUCCUACGGGAGGCAGCAGUGGGGAAUAUUGCGCAAUGGGGGAAACCCUGAACCGCAGCAACGCCGCGUGGGUGAAGAAGGCCUUCGGGUUGUAAAGCUCUGUCUUCUGGGACGAUAAUGACGGUACCAGAGGAGGAAGCCACGGCUAACUACGUGCCAGCCGCCGC